GUAAAUGAUGAUCUCACCUCUUUCACGACGGUCUACUGCGUUGCGAUCAAAUGUUAACGAUCGUAUACUUUGAUGAUAAUCCGGGCCUGACAGCCCGAGGUACCUGAUU
rnacentral:snoRNA from 1 species